rnacentral:rRNA from 1 species
CCUACGGGAGGCAGCAGUGGGGAAUAUUGCACAAUGGGGGAAACCCUGAUGCAGCGACGCCGCGUGAGUGAAGAAGUAUUUCGGUAUGUAAAGCUCUAUCAGCAGGGAAGAAAAUGACGGUACCUGAUUAAGAAGCCCCGGCUAACUACGUGCCAGCAGCCGCGGUAAUACGUAGGGGGCAAGCGUUAUCCGGAUUUACUGGGUGUAAAGGGAGCGUAGACGGCAGCACAAGUCUGGAGUGAAAUGCCGGGGCUUAACCCCGGAACUGCUUUGGAAACUGUGCAGCUAGAGUGCAGGAGAGGUAAGUGGAAUUCCUAGUGUAGCGGUGAAAUGCGUAGAUAUUAGGAGGAACACCAGUGGCGAAGGCGGUUUACUGGACUGUAACUGACGUUGAGGCUCGAAAGUGUGGGUAGCAAACAGGAUUAGAUACCCUUGUAGUC